CUUAACUUCGGUUAUGAAGAGAGUGGCGAAAGGGUGAGUAACGCGUAGGUAAUUUGCCCUUGAGACAGGAAUAACAUCCCGAAAGGGUUGCUAAUACCUGAUAACAUCUAUUAACCCUCGGGUUUUUAGAUCAAAUGAAGGCUCUGCUUUCGCUCAAGGAGAAACCUGCGUCCUAUUAGCUUGUUGGUGGGGUAAUGGCCUACCAAGGCGAUGAUGGGUAGCUGGUCUGAGAGGAUGGUCAGCCACAUUGGGACUGAGACACUGCCCAAACUCCUACGGGAGGCUGCAGUCGAGAAUAUUUCGCAAUGGGGGAAACCCUGACGAUGCGACGCCGCGUGGGGGAUGAAGGUCUUCGGAUUGUAAACUCCUGUUCUACAAGAAGAACGUGCAGUUAGUGAUAAGCUAACUGCAGUGACUGUAUUGUAGCAGCAAGCCCCAGCUAACUACGUGCCAGCAGCUGCGGUAAUACGUAGGGGGCAAGCGUUGUCCGGAAUUACUGGGCGUAAAGCGCACGCAGGCGGCCAUAUAAGUCGGGUAUGAAAUUGCUUGGCUUAACCAAGCAACUGUAUUCGAUACUGUGUGGCUUGAGUACGAGAGGGGAAAGUGGAAUGUACAGUGUAGCGGUGAAAUGCGUAGAGAUUGUACAGAACACCGGUAGCGAAGGCAGCUUUCUGGCUCGAUACUGACGCUGAGGUGCGAAAGUCUGGGUAGCGAACGGGAUUAGAUACCCCGGUAGUCCAGACCGUAAACGAUGGGUACUAAGUGUAGGGGAUACGACUCUUCUGUGCUG
rnacentral:rRNA from 1 species